rnacentral:rRNA from 1 species
CACGUAGGGUGCGAGCGUUGUCCGGAAUUAUUGGGCGUAAAGAGCUCGUAGGCGGUUUGUCGCGUCUGCUGUGAAAACUCGGGGCUUAACCCCGGGCCUGCAGUGGGUACGGGCAGACUAGAGUGCGGUAGGGGAGACUGGAAUUCCUGGUGUAGCGGUGAAAUGCGUAGAUAUCGAGAGGAACACCUGCGGCGAAGGCGGGUUGCUGGGCUGAUACUGACGCUGAGGCGCGAAAGCCAGGGGAGCGAACGGG